CAUGACCAUCGACGCAUGACUAUCAAUACAUAUCUUAGGAACAUGGGAUUUGGUUGUCGAGUAAAAAUUGACUUCCAAUUUUCGCUCAUCAUCAGCCGCUAACCUAAACAAUUUAUGUCGUCCGAUAGCAACACCCCCUGCCUAUCUAUGGUAGCCAUGAGCCAACGCGCCAUCAGCCGCCACUACCUGAUCUUUGCCGAAAUCUUGAGAAAAACCUUGGGUAAAACUUACUUUUUUCUUAUAAUUUGGGAGGUGAAAUUCACCCAUUUUAUUUUGGGUUAAAUUAGUAACCUCUCUUUGGUGUGAAACUUAGAUUCAAGAUUUGGAAAUUUUGAGGCAUUGACCAUCAAACUAGAGACCAUUUUUCGUUUUGCAGAAAAUUGGUAAAGAUCGGUAAGUUCUGGGUAAGAGUGGUUGAGUUUAGAAGGUUCUCAGUUGCCCAUUAAAUUUUGGUUUUCUUUUUGGUUGAUGCCGAUUAUAUUUGGAAUUUAGAUCCAAGAUUGGAGUACUUCAGAGUGCACAACGUGCUGUCCAGCAGAUUCGAGUUCGUUCGGCAAGUAGUUUGGUAAGCGUUAUGAUCCUUGUUGUUGGUUGUUGGCCCCUAUUGAUUAUUGGACUAAAAGAAUGGUUUAAUUUUAAGUAUUUUUAAGGUUAUAAGUCGUCAUCAUUGAGUUUUAAAAUUUGCUAAGAGGAGAUUUUGGAGUCGAAAUCCUGCGAGUGUCUGUUGAUCAAGUUUCGUUUGGGGGACACAAUUCAGAACUUAUUUGGUUGGAGAUCAUUAGCUUGGAUUAAUAUCGGAAUUUGACUUCGAGGUAAAGGUAGAGAUGCACUGGCGAUGGACAAGCG